UUUUAAGUGUUUAUUGAAGAUGAUAUUAGAUGAGGUAAUGAAAAAAUUUGUACAAAUUAAUUGACAAUAUAGGGUGUUAUAUAUAGAAGUUUCAUUCAGCUUCAGCAUCACGAUCAACAAAGAAAGAACGACCAACUCUACAGUUUCUGACGCUAAAAGGAGGUGAUGAUUUACCCUUAGAAAUCAAAGGAACACUCAAACGCCGACACUGAACGAUGGGAGGAUUGAAACGACUACUCUUGAACUUUCCAAACUUGGCUCUGAUUCUGAAAUCAAAAUCCACAGCCAUGUCAUUGUAAACCUCGACACUUGUCUCUUCUUUAUACUCACCAAGUUGUUGACGUCUGAGCUUAAGCAAACUUUGCCCUUCAAACAAUACCUGAAGGACGGUGGUGUUCUUGUGGCCUUGGUCAAAGGGUGUUAAGGUUACCCGACCAAAAUCAUUGUCUUUGUACCAAGCUAUCGCUUUGAUCCUCCUAUAGUACACUACGAUGUUGUUGUUGGGGUUUCUCACUGUGACGUUGACCUUGAAGUUGUAAUACAAGGUGUUGUUGUUUGUGAGGUUGAAUUGUGUGAUGGAGGCAUCAGUUACAUGGAACUUCACGUUUGAUGGAGAGAUGAUUAUCCAGAAGAUGAUUGAGAAAACUAUGAACAGCAAUACGAGGGUGAUGAAUGUGCAGCAAAUGCAACGUAUGCAGCGGUCUCUGCAACACAUGGUGUCACUGAUUUUCUAAGGUUUCUAAGGUGAUUGGUGAAAGAUGGCUUAACAAUUUUUUUGCUUCUAAGGGUAUUUGAAGGAGUUAACCAUUGAUGGUUCUGGUGUGGCUUUGUCACUGAUUCAGGUUAUUUCUGAGAGUUUUCUUACAUAAUACAAUGCAAAUGCAGAGAGAGGCAUUGACUUUUGAAGGCCAAGUGAAGAACUUUUCAAUGGUUUGA
rnacentral:sRNA from 1 species